rnacentral:tRNA from 2 species
GCUCGGGUGAUGGAAUGGCAGACAUGAGGGUCUUAGAAGCCCUUGCCGUAAGGCGUGCAGGUUCGAGUCCUGUCCCGAGCACCA